GCCAACUGCGAUUCCCGGAAAGAUGGAAGUCUUGCACGAGAUCAUAAAUUCCUUGGUCGUCUCCUUCUCCGGAUCAUUUACAUUUGUAUUUUUUGACGGCAAAUGCUGAAGCUCCCAGUCCAUAAUAGAAAAAAUGUUCUACCUGAAACUUUCCUGGUGGUUAUCACAAAUGACUGAAAGCAGUUCAUCAUGGAUGCGUGCUUGUUGUAUCUGCCUUCUGCCAACAUCGAGUUCAACGUCCAAGAAAUCAUAUCUAUAUUCAUGCUAAUAAUAGAAGUUUCCAAACUUGAAAAAAGUGAAAAGAAUAUUUGUAUCGUCUGUUCAAAGUGUGCGAAAUGUAUGCUCAACUAUGAACACUGAUUAUUUUUAAAUGCUUGUUAUAGCUAAUGUACACAAAAUGAUUGAAAUGUUUUUUU